rnacentral:rRNA from 1 species
GACAGAGGUGCCGAGCGUUAGGCGGAAUCACUGGGCUUAAAGCGUGUGUAGGCGGAUGGGUAAGUACCUUGUGAAAUCCCACGGCUCAACCGUGGAACUGCUCGGUAUACUGCUCGUCUUGAGCCAACUAGGGGCGACCGGAACAAACGGUGGAGCGGUGAAAUGCGUAGAGAUCGGGAGGAACACCCGUGGCGAAGGCGGCCACCUGGGCCGACCCUGACGCUGAGGCGCGAAGGCGUGGGGAGCGAACGGG